UACGAGGGGGGCGAGCGUUGUUCGGAAUUAUUGGGCGUAAAGGGUGCGUAGGCGGCCUGACAAGUCUGAUGUGAAAUCCCUGGGCUCAACCCAGGGCCUGCAUCGGAAACUGUCGGGCUUGAGUAUGGGAGAGGUGAGUGGAAUUCCCGGUGUAGCGGUGAAAUGCGUAGAUAUCGGAAGGAACACCUGUGGCGAAAGCGGCUCACUGGACCAUUACUGACGCUGAGGCACGAAAGCUAGGGGAGCAAACAGG
rnacentral:rRNA from 1 species